UGGAAUUCGGGUCGGGGAUCAAUGUCUUCUCCCGAUUUCCUCGACUCCUUCAGCUCGGACGGCGGCGCCGCCGUCUCCGCCGCUGCCACUCGCCCCUUCGACGACGACGGCUUCCUCGGAUACGACUCCCGCCUCCCCUCCCGGCCCUUCGACGCCUUCUCCUCCUUCGCCACCGACACCGAUCUGGCCGACGAUGACGUCUACCCGCCACCGCCGGCCUCCCUGAUCCCCG
rnacentral:misc_RNA from 1 species